UACGUAGGGGGCAAGCGUUGUCCGGAAUCAUUGGGCGUAAAGAGCGUGUAGGCGGCCCGGUAAGUCUGUUGUGAAAGUCCAGGGCUCAACCCUGGAAUGCCGAUGGAUACUGCCGGGCUAGAGUUCGGAAGAGGCGAGUGGAAUUCCUGGUGUAGCGGUGGAAUGCGCAGAUAUCAGGAGGAACACCUAUAGCGAAGGCAGCUCGCUGGGACGACACUGACGCUGAGACGCGAAAGCGUGGGGAGCGAUCCGG
rnacentral:rRNA from 1 species